UGACUACUGGAACAGGAAGAGAGAGCCCAAUGGAAGAGAGAGCCCAAUGUCCCUGAGGGAGCCUAAAGGAGAUGGGGUGGCCGUCCAGACUCACGGGAAAGAAAGGCUGGAGAGGCUGGGACACCUGGCUUUGUCAAUAGGAAAAAAAAAUCCAUUCCCCACCUUGCCCCCCACACAGAAUACAUCUGAGAUGCACUUACAUGAAUGUGUAAAGUGUAUUUAAAAAGGAACAACUUAAAAAGUCUUAGAACAAAAUACAGGCCAGUAACUUCAUGAGCUUAGGAUAGGAAAAGAUUGCUUAAAUAACACAAAACACCACAAAAUAGGGUGCGCAUGGUGGCUCAUGCCUAUAAUCCCAGCACUCAUUCCAUGGGCUAAGGCAAGUAGAUUGCCUGAGGUCAGGAGUUUGAGACCAGCCUGGCCAACAUGGCAAGACCCCAUCUCUACAAAAAAUACAAAAAUUAGCUGGGUAUAGUGGCGCAUGCCUGUAAUCCCAGCUACUCAGGAGGCUGAGGCCCCAGAAUCGCUUGAAGCUGGGAGGCGUGGGUUGCAGUGAGCCAAGAUCAUGCCACUGCACUCCAGCCUGGGCAACAGGUUGAGACCUUGUCUCAAAACACAAACAAACAACACAAAAACAAACACAAAAUGCAUAGAUUUGACUGCAUCAAAACUAAAAGCUUUAUUAUGACACACUGCCCCCCCACACACACCCUACAAAGUUAAAAGAUAUACUACAGACUGGGAUAAAUAUUUGCAAUGUAUGUGAUAGACAAAGAGUAACCAGAAUAUAUAAAGAAAUCUUAUAAAUCAAAAAGAGAAAGAAAAACUCCAUGGAAAACUGGGCAGUGGACGUUGACAGGCAGGUCAUGUAAGAGAAAACUCAAAUAGCCAAGAUGCUUAUCCCCAAUAAUACUCAGAAAAACGCAGAGUGAAGUAACAAUAGCACAUCUUUUCACUCCUCAGGUUGGCAAGUGUCUUAAAGUCUACAUCAAAUAUCGGUGAGGGCGUGAAGCAAUGGGGUCUCUUGAACACUGAAGACAGAAACAGGCACCAGCACCAUCAUUUUGGGGAGAAAUUUGGCAUGAUCUUGUCAAGUUGAAGUGGUGUGUAUCUUUCUGAAUGAUUUAGUGAUUCUAUCCCUACAUAGGGUCCAAAGAGAAACUUGGGCACAUGUGCUCAAAUUGGUGACAUGUUCAAAAAUGUUCACUGCAAAUAUUCACCUAGUUGGGCAGGUGUGGCAGCUCACACCUGUAAUCCCCACACUUUGGGAGGCUGAGGUGGGAGGAUUGCUUGAGCCCAGGAGCUGAGACCAGCCUGCGCAAUAAGGCAAGACCCUGUCUGCAGAAAAAUAAAAAAAAUUAGCCAGGCAUGGUAGCACACCUGUAGUCCCAGCUACUUGGGAGGCUGGGGCAGGAGGAGUGCUUGAGCUUGGGAGGUCGAGGCUGCAGUAAGCCAU
rnacentral:lncRNA from 1 species